GAGUUUGAUCUUGGCUCAGAUUGAACGCUGGCGGCAUGCCUUACACAUGCAAGUCGAACGGCAGCACGGGAGCUUGCUCCUGGUGGCGAGUGGCGAACGGGUGAGUAAUGCACCGGAACGUAUCCUGGAGUGGGGGAUAACGUAGCGAAAGUUACGCUAAUACCGCAUAUUCUGUGAGCAGGAAAGCGGGGGACCUUCGGGCCUCGCGCUCUUGGAGCGGCCGAUGUCGGAUUAGCUAGUUGGUGAGGUAAAGGCUCACCAAGGCGACGAUCCGUAGCAGGUCUGAGAGGAUGAUCUGCCACACUGGAACUGAGACACGGUCCAGACUCCUACGGGAGGCAGCAGUGGGGAAUUUUGGACAAUGGGGGCAACCCUGAUCCAGCCAUGCCGCGUGAGUGAAGAA
rnacentral:rRNA from 1 species